rnacentral:rRNA from 1 species
UACGGGGGGUGCGAGCGUUGUCCGGAAUGAUUGGGCGUAAAGCGUCCGCAGGUGGCAGUUCAAGUCUGCUGUCAAAGACCGGGGCUUAACUUCGGAAAGGCAGUGGAAACUGAACAGCUAGAGUAUGGUAGGGGCAGAGGGAAUUCCUGGUGUAGCGGUGAAAUGCGUAGAGAUCAGGAAGAACAUCGGUGGCGAAGGCGCUCUGCUGGACCAUAACUGACACUCAGGGACGAAAGCUAGGGGAGCGAAUGGG